rnacentral:sRNA from 1 species
ACGCUCAGAAAGGAGGUGAUCCGGAAGUGAUUUCUUACCGGACAAGCGAGGUGACUGCGGGCUGACGCCUGCCGUCGCACUCUGUGCACCUCGGCAGUCGUCUGCCGAAACCCAAGCAGUCACCCGACCCGUGGGCCGCCGGUAAGUCCGGCCGGCUUCCUCCGUCCGGACGGAGGGACCAAGGCCCACGGGUCGUCUGCG